rnacentral:sRNA from 1 species
ACCUUCUUAACAUUCUACGUGCGUACUUCACACUACUCUCAUAAUUACACCUAGAACCAUCUCUUACAAGUAAUGAGUAUGUUUAAAUAUAUUUGAGUCCUCAUACAAAAUAUCCUGCUCACUCUGCUCACUUGCUCACUUUGCUCACCGGUGAUCAUGGUGAGCACAGUGAACAGAAUGAGCAGUCACAUGACCUCAUAUUAGCAUCAGUUGUGAGUUGUUCCAUUCCUGCAUCCCUUCGGUUCUUAUCCAAUAAGCCCCGGUCCGUGCCGCAGGUUUAUAACACAAAGUAGUGAUACACAAAGUCAAUAAGAAAUCCACAAAGCAGUAAAAGCCAUAUAGCAGCAUUGUUAUCAAUAUUGCUGCAUCACAGCAGAUCAAUCUGAUGAUGAGCAAUGAGCUAAUACUAGACAGUGAGUACUGUAUGAUGAAGGUCUUUCAUAGAGAGAUAGUGGUAAUCAGAUGCUUUAGCUGUCAGCAAUAUGAACAUAUUGCAAAGUUCUAUCAUAAAAAACAGAUGUGUGGCUACUGUGAAAAGAAGAAUCACAAUAAUAAAAACUGUUCAGAAGUAAUGAAGAGAAACAAGUCUAAAUAUAUCAACUG